rnacentral:rRNA from 1 species
GAUGAACGCUGGCGGCGUGCUUAACACAUGCAAGUCGAACGGAAAGGCCCUGCUUUUGUGGGGUGCUCGAGUGGCGAACGGGUGAGUAACACGUGAGUAACCUGCCCUUGACUUUGGGAUAAAUUCAGGAAACUGGGGCUAAUACCGGAUAGGAGCUCCUGCUGCAUGGUGGGGGUUGGAAAGUUUCGGCGGUUGGGGCUGGACUCGCGGCUUAUCAGCUUGUUGGUGGGGUAGUGGCUUACCAAGGCUUUGACGGGUAGCCGGCCUGAGAGGGGGACCGGCCACAAGAGGACUGAGAGACGGCCCAGACGCCUACGGGAGGCAGCAGUGGAGAAUAUUGCGCAAUGGGCGGAAGCCAGAUACAGCAACGCCGCGUGCGGGAUAACGUCCUUCGAGUUGUAAACCGCUUUCGCCUGUGACGAAGCGUGAGUGACGGUAAUGGGUAAAGAAGCACCGGCUAACUACGUG